GUGGGGAAUAUUGGACAAUGGGCGCAAGCCUGAUCCAGCCAUGCCGCGUGAGUGAUGAAGGCCUUAGGGUUGUAAAGCUCUUUCAGUAGGGAAGAUAAUGACGGUACCUACAGAAGAAGCCCCGGCUAACUUCGUGCCAGCAGCCGCGGUAAUACGAAGGGGGCUAGCGUUGUUCGGAUUUACUGGGCGUAAAGCGCACGUAGGCGGUUUGUUAAGUCAGGGGUGAAAUCCCGGAGCUCAACUCCGGAACUGCCUUUGAUACUGGCAAGCUAGAGUCCGGAAGAGGUAAGUGGAACUCCUAGUGUAGAGGUGGAAUUCGUAGAUAUUAGGAAGAACACCAGUGGCGAAGGCGGCUUACUGGUCCGGAACUGACGCUGAGGUGCGAAAGCGUGGGGAGCAAACAGGAUUAGAAACCCCAGUAGUCC
rnacentral:rRNA from 1 species